AUUGAACGCUGGCGGCAUGCUUUACACAUGCAAGUCGAACGGCAGCGCGGGCUUCGGCCUGGCGGCGAGUGGCGAACGGGUGAGUAAUGCAUCGGAACGUGCCCAGUCUUGGGGGAUAGCCCGGCGAAAGCCGGAUUAAUACCGCAUACGACCUGAGGGUGAAAGCGGGGGACCGAAAGUCCUCGCGCCAUUUGAGCGGCCGAUGUCGGAUUCGCUAGUUGGUUGGGUAAAGGCUUACCAAGGCGACGAUCCGUAGCUGGUCUGAUAGGACGACCAGCCACACUGGGACGGAGACACGGCCAAGACUCCUACGGGAGGAAGCAGAGGGGAAUUUUGGACAAUGGGGGAAAUCCGAAUCCAGCCAUGCCGCGUGCGGGAAGAAGGCCUUCGGGUUGUAAACCGCUUUUGUUCGGGAAGAAAUCCUCUGGGCUAAUACCCCGGGGGAAUGACGGUACCGGAAGAAUAAGCACCGGCUAACUACGUG
rnacentral:rRNA from 1 species